CGUAUAGAGCCCAUUAUAAGCUGAAUGUGAAUACACUCGUAACAUCACCAACUAUAGGUACAUGACCUAAAUGUUAUCGGAAAACAGUAAGUUUUCCGAUUUUAUGAAUUUAUGAAUUCAUAGAAACAUGGAACACACAUUCACUAUUACGAGGAAAUACUGGCCGAUUUUUGCAAUCAUCUAGUCAACAGAGAUAAAUUACCGUGUAAUACUGAAUAACAGCAGCCCGGCAUCAGCAGGUAUACUGCCAGCGAAACAUGUCGAACGAUCAGCUGGACACUUCGUAAAACGUCCCUACAAAUGAACAUCUCGAUUCUAAGGAAUUUUUAGGGAAUUCCGUUUGAACAUCUCAGUACGAAUGAACAGUGGAAAGGACAAGUCCGAGGGCGCGAAAUUUCAAAACUCAACGUUUAAUGGGGCCGUCAUAACGGAACAAGAACAAGACAAAAGGCUUGCGAAGCUUCUACUUACGUAGGGACAGCAAAAUGGUAGAGUUACGACUGUCGACCAUUGGAGUCAUU